rnacentral:rRNA from 1 species
UCAAGCAAAAAAGAGCGCAGGGUGGAUGCCUUGGCACUAAGAGCCGAUGAAAGACGUGAUAAGCUGCGAAAAGCUGCGGGGAGGAGCAAAUAUCCACUGAUCCGCAGAUGUCUGAAUGGGGAAACCCGCAUGAGCAACCCUCAUGCAUCCAUACGCCAAUCCAUAACGUAUGGAGGGGAACCGCCUGAACUGAAACAUCUAAGUAGGGCGAGGAAGAGAAAGAAAAUUUAUCGAUUUCCAAAGUAGCGGCGAGCGAAAUGGAAAGAGGCCAAACCGGAGUGCGUGCACUCCGGGGUUCGGACCGCAUUUAAGAUUCAGUGAUUCUAGCAGAAAGGUUUUGGGAAAGCCUGCCGGAGAGGGUGAAAGCCCCGUAAGCGAAAGAGGAACUGACUGAGCGGGAUCCAGAGUACAUCGAGACACGAGAAACCUUGAUGGAAUGAGCGGGGACCACCCCGUAAGCCUAAAUACUCCUUAGUGACCGAUAGCGCAUAGUACUGUGAAGGAAAGGUGAAAAGGACCCCGGGAGGGGAGUGAAAGAGAACCUGAAACCCUGUGUUUACAAGCUGUGGGACAUCUUUACAUGAUGAACCGCGUACUUUUUGUAGAACGGUCCGGCGAGUUGCGGAUGCCGGCAAGGUUAAGCACUUAAGGUGUGGAGCCGAAGGGAAACCAAGUCUGAAGAGGGCGUAUAUAGUCAGUAUCCGCAGACCCGAAACCGGGUGAUCUACCCAUGUCCAGGUUGAAGUUGCCGUAAAAGGCAAUGGAGGACCGAACGCACAUCCGUUGAAAAGGGUGGCGAUGAGGUGUGGGUAGGGGAGAAAUUCCAAUCGAACCCGGAGAUAGCUGGUUCUCCUCGAAAUAGCUUUAGGGCUAGCCUCGUUUUAGUCUUAUGGAGGUAGAGCACUGAAUUUCCGCGGGGGCGUCAAAGCUUACCAAAGAAUAUCAAACUCCGAAUGCCAUGUAGAUGAUGAAUGGGAGUCAGACUGCACGAGAUAAGUUGGGUGGUCAAAAGGGAAAGAGCCCAGACCUACAGCUAAGGUCCCAAAGUGCGUGUUAAGUGGAAAAGGAUGUGGGAUUUCGAAGACAACUAGGAUGUUGGCUCAGAAGCAGCCACACAUUCAAAGAGUGCGUAAUAGCUCACUAGUCGAGAGGUCCUGCGCCGAAAAUGUCCGGGGCUGAAACACGACACCGAAGCUGUGGACUUGCCUAUGGCAAGUGGUAGAGGAGCAUUCUUAACUGCGGCGAAGCAGUACCGAUAAGGAGCUGUGGAGUGUUAAGAAGAGAGAAUGCCGGAAUGAGUAGCGAGAUGGAGGUGGGAAUCCUCCAGGCCGAAUAUCUAAGGUUUCCAGAGUAAAGCUGAUCUGCUCUGGGUAAGUCGGGACCUAAGGCAAGGUCGAAAGACGUAGUCGAUGGACAACAGGUUGAAAUUCCUGUACCACAUAUCAUCAGAACUGUGGGGACACAGGGCGAUAACCAGACCCGGGAAUGAAAAGACCGGGGCAAGCGAAGAAGGAGUUAAGCUGGCAAAUCCGCUUAACAAUCCGAAAGCGUGAUGCGGACCGAACAAAAGUAGGGAAGCUGGUAAUUCGAACUGUCAAGAAAAGCCGCUAUUGUGUGAUAUGUGCCCGUACCGUAAACCGACACAGGUGGAUGAGGAGAGAAUCCUAAGGCCGGCGGGAGAAGCAUUGUUAAGGAACUCGGCAAAAUGACCCUGUAACUUCGGGAUAAAGGGUGCCUGCGCAAGCAGGCCGCAGAGAAUAGGCUCAAGCAACUGUUUAGCAAAAACACAGGUCUAUGCAAAACCGAAAGGUGAGGUAUAUGGGCUGACGCCUGCCCGGUGCUGGAAGGUUAAGGGGAGAGGUUAGCGCAAGCGAAGCUUUGAACUUAAGCCCCAGUAAACGGCGGCCGUAACUAUAACGGUCCUAAGGUAGCGAAAUUCCUUGUCGGGUAAGUUCC